rnacentral:tRNA from 1 species
GAUUCCAUAGCCUAAUGGAUAAGGUGUUGGUUUACCAAACUAAAGAUUAUGAGUUUGAUCCCCAGUGGAAUUG